UACGGAGGAUCCAAGCGUUAUCCGGAUUCAUUGGGUUUAAAGGGUGCGUAGGCGGAAUGAUAAGUCAGUGGUGAAAUCCUUCAGCUUAACUGGAGAACUGCCAUUGAUACUGUCAAUCUUGAGUACAUUUGAUGUGGGCGGAAUGUGUCAUGUAGCGGUGAAAAUGCUUAGAUAUGACACAGAACACCGAUUGCGAAGGCAGCUCACAAAACUGUAACUGACGCUGAGGCACGAAAGCGUGGGUAUCAAACAGG
rnacentral:rRNA from 1 species